GCCAGCAUGGUACAGUGGUUUGAGCAUUGGUCUAUGACCCUGAAGACUAAGGUUUGAAUCCCUGUUCAGCCA